UCUCAUGGAUAUUUCAUCUGUUUUCAGAAUUUUGGGAAAUCCAAUUGACGAUCUGUCAAAGUUUGGAGCAGUGCAUGUACUGAAUGAAGGUUAUAAUAUUUUUACUAGAGAUUCAAGCCCUGGUGCAGAAAGGAGACAGGGACUUCUCCCUGGAAAUGAAUGAUGAAGACAAAGUUGAAGUGAGCUGCCCAGGUUUGUGCUGCAAGCAUGGAGUCUCCAUGAAGAGCACAUGGGGAGAAGAUGCUUCAUAGGAGC